rnacentral:rRNA from 1 species
ACGCGCGGAACCUUACCAGGUCUUGACAUCCUCUGACACUCCUAGAGAUAGGACGUUCCCCUUCGGGGGACAGAGUGACAGGUGGUGCAUGGUUGUCGUCAGCUCGUGUCGUGAGAUGUUGGGUUAAGUCCCGCAACGAGCGCAACCCUUGAUCUUAGUUGCCAGCAUUUAGUUGGGCACUCUAAGGUGACUGCCGGUGACAAACCGGAGGAAGGUGGGGACGACGUCAAAUCAUCAUGCCCCUUAUGACCUGGGCUACACACGUGCUACAAUGGAUGGUACAAAGGGCAGCAAAGCGGUGACGCCUAGCAAAUCCCAUAAAACCAUUCUCAGUUCGGAUUGUAGGCUGCAACUCGCCUACAUGAAGCUGGAAUCGCUAGUAAUCGCGGAUCAGCAUGCCGCGGUGAAUACGUUCCCGGGCCUUGCACACACCGCCCGU